rnacentral:rRNA from 1 species
CAAUAGCGUAUAUUUAAGUUGUUGCAGUUAAAAAGCUCGUAGUUGGAUUUCGGUUAAGAGCGACCGGUCCGCCGUUUGGUGUGCACUGGUUGGUUUUAACUUCCUGUAGAGGACGUGCUCUGGGCUUAACGGUCUGGACUCGGAGUCUACGUGGUUACUUUGAAAAAUUAGAGUGUUCAAAGCGGGCUUACGCUUGAAUAUUUCAGCAUGGAAUAACACUAUAGGACUCCUGUCCUAUUUCGUUGGUCUCGGGACGGGAGUAAUGAUUAAGAGGAACAGUUGGGGGCAUUCGUAUUUCAUUGUCAGAGGUGAAAUUCUUGGAUUUAUGAAAGACGAACUUCUGCGAAAGCAUUUGCCAAGGAUGUUUUCAUUAAUCAAGAACGAAAGUUGGGGGCUCGAAGAUGAUUAGAUACCGU